UUAAAAAUACCUUUUAAGCUUUUACUUUAUGAAACAAAAAGCACCAAGAUUUAUAAAAUUUCCAAAAUAUUUUCCUCAUAACAACCCUGUGAGAUUGAUGGUGAAAGUAUUGCUUUUUUCAUUUUGCUGAUAAGGACAAGACACCUUAUAUGACAAGAGGUUAAGUGACAGAGUGAUCAGUUUUCAGCCAGAAUUUGAACCUAGGUCUUUUGAUAACAAAUCUGAUACAUUUUUCCCAUUCCACCAAGCAGUCGUCCUGGCCAUAGUUAUACUAUUUCCAUUCCCCCAACUCCAAUCUCCAUUAGUGACAAUUUUUUGCUUUAUUUCCUUGGUCUGCUGUGAUGAACUUAAUCGCUUUGACAGUCUGUUGUUUGAGGCAUACAUUUCAAAAAUCCCAGUCUUAAUUAUGACAUUAAUAUAGCCACGAAAUCUCUGAAUUACAUGAAGCUCAUUUAAAAUAAGCCCCAGUUCCAUCAGAGUUCUGUUACAUUUAUUUAUUUUUAUUUCACAAUAGGGCCCUGUUGCAUGAUGGUUAACAAAUUAAAAUUAAAUAAUUGCAAAUUAUAAGCAGAGGCCUUUUUGGUCCUGGAAGCACAUGGAAGGUAUUAAACAUUUGCUUGAAUUUCCAGAAAGGAUGUGCAACUGGUUUCAAUGAUUUUGGUUUUUGAAGUUUUUUUUUUUCAAAAGCUGCAAUAUUUUUUCCCUCCCUGAUGUUUUCAUAUAUGUAUUUCCUUAUUUUCCCUUUAGAAGAGUCUACCAGCACUGAAACAGUUUCUCUUGAACAGCCAGCAUUCUGUUCUACAAAGAUAGCAGCCACUUGGGCUACUGAAAAUCACACCCCAUUCUGCCUCUGGGAAUGUUCCUUCUGCUGUCAUGAGCCAGAUUGUGGGUGUAAGGCAGCCCAACAGCUUGUGCCCCCCCAUCAGACCAAGUGUAACCCAGCCUCCUUGGACAAAGAUGGCACUCCCAACUGGGGCGAGAUCUGUGUUUCUGUAGUGAUUACAUCUGCCCUCCUUAUAAACUGGUGACUUGGUGACCUUUUCAACUGAUAACUUCUACAUCUUGGUCUAGAUCAGGUAUAGUAUGGGGAGGACUAGUGAAGAAUGGCUAGUAAAAAUAAUAUGUAAUACUAUUCCUUUUGAUACAUCUGGAAUGGUUAAGAACACAGAGCUUGUGUCUCUAGGAAAAUUUAUACUAGAAACUCCUAAAGAAAGCAACUAUAAGUUUGGGAAUUUGGCUUUACUUAAUUCUAAACUUAAGAUUGUAUAUCUAAAAAUAGAAAACCUGAGAUUUCCAGGCAAAUUACUUACCUGAUUAAUUUUUUCAAAGGAAAAUAAUUUUAUAAUUUUAUUUAAAGCAAAACUUUCUCCUCUUCUCAGAACUGAAACAAUUCUUGUUUUUAUAAUUUCUACAACUUGGCAUUGAAGUGGCACAGUGGAUAGGGUGUCAAUCCUGAAGUCAGAGGAACUUAAGUUCAGAUUGGUUUCAGACACUUAAUAGCUGUGUGACCCUGUUCAGUUCACUUAACUCUAUUUGUUUAGUUUCCUCAUCUGUAAAAUGAACUAGAAAAGGAAAUGGCAAACCACAAUACCUCUUUGAAGAAAACCCCAAAUGGGGUGCCAAGGAGCUCUACACAGAGAUCAGUUAAACAACAAUAACAAUGUCUGCAACCAGUCAACAUAAAUAACUUAUUUGGGAAAUUCUCCCAAUUUUUCAAUUCUUUAUUAGUCCUCUUAUUUCAAACAGUAGGUUGUUUUAUUAUGUCAUGAAUAAAAUAAAAAGUUGAAUUGGCUGAAAGCUCA
rnacentral:lncRNA from 1 species